rnacentral:rRNA from 1 species
AGAGUUUGAUCCUGGCUCAGGAUGAACGCUAGCUACAGGCUUAACACAUGCAAGUCGAGGGGAAACGACAUCGAAAGCUUGCUUUUGAUGGGCGUCGACCGGCGCACGGGUGAGUAACGCGUAUCCAACCUGCCCAUCACUUGGGGAUAACCUUGCGAAAGUAAGACUAAUACCCAAUGAUAUCUCUAGAAGGCAUCUGAAAGAGAUUAAAGAUUUACCGGUGAUGGAUGGGGAUGCGUCUGAUUAGCUUGUUGGCGGGGUAACGGCCACCAAAGCAACGAUCAGUAGGGGUUCUGAGAGGAAGGUCCCCCCACAUUGGAACUGAGACAUGGUCCAAAACUCCUACGGGAGCA